rnacentral:rRNA from 1 species
GACAGAGGGUGCAAACGUUGUUCGGAUUUACUGGGCGUAAAGCGCGUGUAGGCGGCCUUGCAAGUUGGAUGUGAAAGCCCACGGCUCAACCGUGGAAGCGCAUCCAAAACUGCAUCGCUCGAGUCUCGGAGAGGAAGGUGGAAUGCUUGGUGUAGAGGUGAAAUUCGUAGAUAUCAAGCAGAACACCUGCGGCGAAGGCGGCCUUCUGGACGAUGACUGACGCUGAGACGCGAAAGCGU